UCCCGGCAGUCCAAGUCGCAGCCAACAUUAUUGGGUCUAAAACAUCCGUAGCUUGCUCGUUAAGUUUUCUGUGAAAUUCUACAUCUCAAGUGUGGAGCUUGCAGAAAAUACUGGCGAGCUAGAGACCGGAAGAUGCAAAGAGUACACGCAAGGUAGUAGUAAAAUACGUUAAUCUUGUGUGGACUAACAAUUGGCGAAGGCACUUUGCAAGUACGGAUCUGACAGUGAGGGAUGAAGGCUAGGGG
rnacentral:rRNA from 1 species